GAAACUUAUCUUCUUAGCUGUGACUUAAAACCCAUACACUUCACACCGACCAGAUAUAAUGAAAGAGAUCACUGUUGUGCAUUGAAGCGAGGAUUCACCGGUAUUAGAAGCUCCAGUUAAAUGAAAUGUUGCAGCACAGGAGCCGAGCUACCCUAGUUUCGGUCUUAUUCAUUUUGAAAGCAGUCACAGCAUCCCAGGAUCCACACGUUAUCACAGCACUGAAAGGAGGAGCAGCGACUAUUGACUGUUUCCAUGGUUUAAAUAAUACUGAAGUGAUGGCUGUCACUUUACAAAGAAAUGCAACCUUGUGUUACAAAGUGAAUAUGAACAACAGUGCAUGGGAAGAGCAGUGUAAUGAACGCGUAAACAUGACAUGGAAUAACAAGACAAAUAAUCUGUCUUUUAUCAUUAAAGCUCUUAUUUUAAAUGACUCUGGUAUUUACAACUGUAUAUUGGAAAGAAUGAUACCUCCACCAACACAAUAUAUAACACAAAACAAAACAUUUCUUCAAGUGACUGCCCGGCCGAACAUCCUGCUGGUUUAUGUGAACAAUUCUAAUGGAAGCAUCCAGUUGGUUUGCACUUCGGAGGGCUUCAGCCCAAAGGGCAUUGAGGUGUCUUGGUUUAAAGAUAGAGAACUGCUCAGCAGCGGCACUCAUGAGGGGAAUCUGACUUCUAAUGAUGACGGCUCCUUUACUCUUACAAGUUACUGCAGUGUGUCUGGAAGUGGAAAUUACACCUGUCAGGUUAACCAUUCCACACUCCAAUCACCCCUCACUGCAAGUUUUAGUGUACCGGCACGUAACCAAGGUAGGGUUAUUCUUGUUAAAUAUGACUAAAUCUAUUGCAUGUUCUGCAUUGCAUUGUUUCAGGCAGGCUGCUCAUCUUGUAUCAGUCAAUUCAACUUUCAUUUAAGUUAUUUAAGUAUUGAGUAAAAAUAGAUAAUACUUAUGUUAAGGGUCAUUUUCCUGUAUAUUCCCGAGUCCCUCUUCUUUAUCUGUUUGUAGUGUAAGUGUGUAUACUGUCUGCAGAGGAUUCUUGUUCGAUCAAUGUUAGACACAACAAAGACCACAGUUCCUUGUGUGUUUGUAUUUUAGCACAUUCAGAUUAUUUUCCAGAUUGGCUGUGGUUGUGGAAGAUCUUAAUCCCACUUGGUUCAUGUGUGAUCUUGCUUUUGAUAUCACUUCUAAUUCUCGCUCGCUGUACAAAUAUAAAAGCUUUCUUUCAUCAUCCUGCUAGUGAGCCAGUUGGUGCAAGUGCGACUCCUCUCCCAUCUCUUUACGUUAGAGAUGAUGAAAACUGUGUCUACUCACUGCUUGGUGAGCAUCCUGUCUACAGUCAAGUUGUCGGUGUGAAAACAUGAAACUGCUUUGAAUGGAGCUAGCUGUUCUUUGGGCAUCAGAGGCUACUCUGAAUGGAGCUAGCUGUUCUCAAUGUUUCAGUGCAUUGGCAAUCAUUAAAUGUAGAUUUCACAUGCAAUGCUUGGUUUUACUUGAAUGGGUAACGUGUAUAUUUUGUAUAAAUUUCCAUAAACUGCUUUGUCAUUUUUCUUGUUCCUAAUUUUGCGUAAUCAUGUAAGCUGAAUGUAUGUACUCAUAUCUAAGUCAUAUAACACUAUCGCUGUGUAUUUAUACUAACCAGAUGUAUUCUUUACACAAUAAACUAUACCUGAGGAAACAAUUGGAGCUG